AAAUUUUAAGUUUAACAAUUUACUUUAUUCAUAUUAAGCAAUUCAAUAUGAAACUGGAUUACAUUUAUCUUAGACAGAACAUCUUAUCUAAUUUGAAAUUGAUAAAUAGGCCUAUAUUUUAUUGUUUCGUAUCGUAUCGUACCGUGCCUCCUCUUAAUAUUGAAACUUAUUAAGGUGGUGAGCUUUGGGACUGCCCCGCCCCGAAUCUUCUAAUGAGUAACCGACUUUCGACGAUGAGGAUUUUACUUGCGAGAAAAUACUAAUUAGAUGUGCACUUAUCGAAUGACGUGAUAUCGUUUCAUCCCGCUUCAUUGUGUUUAUAUUGAGGAGCAAGUACAUUACGAAGCUUAGAAUCGAUAUGAGAUUCCAGUCAGCCAGAAAUAUGACAUCUGCUGUUCACUCAUAAAUAUAAGCUUAGUUGACAUUAUUUGCCAUUCAUUAUCUGUCCUCAUAACUACUUUAAUGGGUUCCUUUUUAUAUCCGAUUUAAAUAAGGUAGCAAAGUCCAACCUAUGACCCAUUUGUUUACACCCACUGACCUGACAAAGCCCUGGUCGGAAAUGAAAAAAAAACUCUUCCGAAGAAUUGUCAGCGAGAAAAGAAGUCCAAAGCCCCAGAAACACAAUAUCGAUUUAUAUUUUCAAUUCAUCCGAUAACGCGACCUUCUCCAUACGAAUCUGGACUCAGUCCCGCUGUGAACAAAGAACGGCAUGGCGAUGCGUGACAAAUACUAGUCGAUUUCUUUGUUUGGUUGUCAGGGCGCGGACAUUGUAACUAAACUGGCUUCUCGUUCAACAUCGACCUCACACACAGGCUAGUCCCUGGGAAAACACACUAGACAUACGUAAGCAAUGACUUGUGUAUGGAUGGAUGUGACGCGUUUCUAAAUUUAGAACAAUGCGAAAGGCUCGCUUGUUGAAAUCGGAAGUACUACACACAUACGGUUGGAUUUUUUGCAGUUUCUUUCGUGUUUACCUGCAUGUUUUGAGGUCAUUUAAGGUAUGUUUGCAUCAAAUACACAUGUAAAGUGUUAGCUGUAGCUAUUGAAAGUAUUUUUGGUGAUUCGUAUUGUUCGUUUGUGGAUUGUUAGCAGUCGAGCCUAGCGCGAGGCGUUAGGCCAGUCAACGCACUGUCAUUACCGAGAUUUGACGACCAUGCACUGUACCGUCAAAAACAAUAACAGCCGCGACCAGACUAAAGCUUGAAAUAUUUCGUUGCGCAGUUCCAUCGAAAUUUUUGUUCGUGUCCCAGCAAGCAGUUCACUAGUUACUGAUUUACCACGCGUGAAGUAAGUCGUGAUUACGGGUGAAUAGAGGUGUUCCAGCAUCAGUAUGAUGCAUUACCACGCCGCCAUGAAGAACGCACCAGUAAUACCCACAGUGCAACAGGAACCCAUACCCAGCCCGGGAGUAGCAGUUUGGCGACCAGGUACGUUUUGUUACAAUAUUUGAUGCAUCCAUUGUCAUUCUGGCAAUGAAUAAUGCAAAGUUUAUUUUGUUUUUCUAUAGUCGCAUGAACGCUGCUUUUUAUUUUUCAUCUUGGCAUUGCUAUUUUCACACCGUUUACAUUUUAAUUAUCUAGAAAAUUGAACACACAUCUCUCAGUUUGCAUAAAAAAGCAAGGUUUGAAAAGAACAGGUACGCAGAAUGCGUUUUUUUUUUAUUUCGUAAAAUUAUGCAGAAAUCAAGGUACGCACAUUAUAGAAGACCCGAGCGUAUUAAUUACACUCUGUUCAUUAAUGACCACAGCACAGUCCAUUACGAUAUAGCUCGAGCCUCUACCUCCCAUGCCAUUGGUUGCUCUCCCGUCGCAUAAUGUUAUUCGUAUGACAAAGAGUACAUGACUAAAUUAUGCGUAUCUCAUGAAUGUUAAUCUGACGAGACUUUCCAAGUCGUUGCUGAAUCCCGUAAAUUUCUACAUCACUACUUGUUCAUCUCUUCUCCCUCCGAGCUUUGCAAUGA